rnacentral:lncRNA from 1 species
AGAGCUACGGUGACACUUCGCGUGCGGUGUAGGCGCAUCUUCGCUCUGUUGGCCGUGGCUUUAGUAAGCACACACCUGCCUGCUACUCUGGUUAUCGUGGCGACGGCAGGUCUGGAUUGCCAGACAGGUUUUUCUUUUUACCUCGAGGCUUUCUCUGAAGGGAGUCGGAGCAUUUAAAAGGCGGCCUCAAGGUGGAUUGAGUCGGGGGAGGAUUAGCAGUAUUUGCUUAGGUUGUAAAACCGCGACUUUAUCUAAUAAAUCGCCAUUCAAGGUGCAAAUACAAACUUGGAACAGAGAUGUAAAUGAAUUCCUCAAGGUCAGAGACUGUUUUUAUUCAUUUCUACAUCUCCAACACCUGGCAAAGUGCCUCGGCCAUAAAAGAUUGCAUUUGGGUUUAAACAGAGGACUUAAUCAUAGCAUGGACAGAAAAGGCUCACCAUCUAUCUAAAUGACUCUGAUUGCACCAUCAUCCUCAUUGUUCUUGUGGAGUCUCGCUCUGUCGCCCAGGCUGGGGUGGAGUGACGCGAUCUCGGCUCACCGCAAGCUCCGCCUCCCGGGUUCACGCCAUUCUCCUGUCUCAGCCUCCCCAGUAGCUGGGACUACAGGCGUCCACCACCACGCCCGGCUAAUUUUUUGUACUUUUAGUAGAGACGGGUUUCACCGUGUCAGCCAGGAUGGUCUCGAUCUCCUGACCUCGUGAUCUGCCCGCCUCAGCCUCCCUAUAUGUUUUAAAAUAUAAAUUUAUUCUUAUAAAAAUAAAUUUAAACUAGAUUGAGGUAGUAAUUACAACAGUCCAGCACAUUAUGGAUAAUUAAUAUUUAUAUUUAUUUGGCUGGUUUUUCUUUUAUAGUAAACUUUAUGCCUUAAUGAACAUUUAUCAGUAUGACUCACUUCAUUCAGUCAUUGAAUAACUAUUUAUUGAGGCUGUAUACUGUGCUAGGUAGGCAUGGAACUACAUGCAUGAUCAAAAUGAGACAGAUUCCUAACAUCACUGAGAUUAUACACAGCAGGGGAAAGAAAAUAUUCAAACUUCAAAUAGUUUCUUCAUCCAAAAAAUUUAUUAUUAGUACCUCCUUGUCAACAUAUGGUAUAUGUUGUGAGUGCAGAAACU